CGCCGACCAUCCGAGCGCUGGGCAUCGGCCCACGCGUACAGAAGGCGCUCAAUAAAUGCUCACUAGUGAAUCAGUAAAAUAAAUCGGCAGCAAAGAGAGACGAGACGCGUGCUGAUCUUCAGGUGUUGGGGAAAUCAGGGACGCGAACAUUUAUUGAGCUCUUAUUGUAUACCCCGUCGGCCAGCAUUUGUGUCCAUUUCACACAUGAGGAAUAAGAGGCCCAGAGAGGUGAAGUGACUUCCUUAAGGCCACACAGAUAAGAUAGUAAGUGGCCGAGACGAAUUUGAAACCAGGGGUGUCCUGUUUCAACUUGGUGCCAAAUAGAGUAACUCGGACUCCAGUUGGAGGGGUUCGGGAGAACCAUAGAAGAGGAAGGGCCGUGUCUUCCGUGGACAGGCCACCGGAGCCACCAGCUGUUUGGAACUGAGCUACUGCAGAAAGGGAAGUGGAGAGUAAGGGCCAGGCCCCGUGGGGGCAGAUGGCCGGCAGAUGGCUGAAUCUGCACUGGGCACUGAGUGUGCUUUGUGUGCUGCUAAUGGCGGAGACAGUGUCUGGGACUAGGGGCUCGUCUACAGGAGCUCACAUUAGCCCCCGGUUUCCAGCUUCAGGUGUGAACCAGACCCCUGUGAUAGACUGUCGCAAGGUGUGUGGCCUGAAUGUCUCUGACCGCUGUGACUUCAUCCGGACCAACCCUGACUGCCACAGUGAUGGGGGGUACCUGGACUACCUGGAAGGCAUCUUCUGCCACUUCCCUCCCAGCCUCCUCCCUCUGGCUGUCACUGUCUACGUUUCCUGGCUGCUCUACCUGUUUCUGAUUCUGGGAGUCACCGCAGCCAAGUUUUUCUGCCCCAACUUGUCGGCCAUUUCUACCACACUGAAGCUCUCCCACAACGUGGCAGGCGUCACCUUCCUGGCAUUUGGGAAUGGUGCACCUGACAUCUUCAGUGCCCUGGUGGCCUUCUCUGACCCGCACACAGCCGGCCUGGCCCUUGGGGCACUGUUUGGUUACCUGGGCUUGUAUGUGUUCUAUGUGGUCACUGUGAUUCUCUGCACCUGGAUCUACCGACGGCAACGGAGAGGAUCUCUGUUCUGCCCCAUGCCAGUUACUCCAGAGAUCCUCUCAGACUCCGAGGAGGACCGGGUAUCUUCUAAUACCAACAGCUAUGACUACGGUGACGAGUACCGGCCGCUGUUCUUCUACCAGGAGACCACGGCUCAGAUCCUGGUCCGGGCCCUCAAUCCCCUGGAUUACAUGAAGUGGAGAAGGAAAUCAGCAUACUGGAAAGCCCUCAAGGUGUUCAAGCUGCCUGUGGAGUUCCUGCUGCUCCUCACAGUCCCUGUCGUGGACCCGGACAAGGAUGACCGGAACUGGAAACGGCCCCUCAACUGUCUGCAUCUGGUUAUCAGCCCCCUGGUUGUGGUCCUGACCCUGCAGUCGGGGACCUAUGGUGUCUAUGAGAUAGGUGGCCUUGUUCCCGUCUGGGUCGUGGUGGUGAUCGCAGGCACAGCCUUGGCUUCAGUGACCUUUUUUGCCACAUCUGACAGCCAGCCCCCCAGGCUUCACUGGGUGAGGAACUGAGGCUGUGUUCCUGCUGGGGCUGGCCUUGGUCCCACAGCAAACCAUUCCCUCCGCAGCUCUUUGCUUUCCUGGGCUUUCUGACCAGCGCCCUGUGGAUCAAC
rnacentral:sRNA from 1 species